rnacentral:tRNA from 1 species
ACGCCCGUGGAGCAAGGCGGAGCGGGCGGCGAUUGAAUGCCCUCCGAAGGCAGGGGUUGCUGGUUCGAUCCCAGCCGGGCGCGCCA